UACGGAGGGUGCGAGGCGUUGUCCGGAAUCACUGGGCGUAAAGGGCGCGUAGGCGGCCUGAUAAGUAGGGGUGAAAUCCUGCGGCUUAACCGCAGGGCUGCCUUCUAAACUGUCAGGCUAGAGCACAGUAGGAGGCAGGUGGAAUUCCCGGGUGUAGCGGUGGAAUGCGUAGAGAGUCGGGAAGAACAUCAGUGGCGAAGGCGGCCUGCUGGGCUGUUGCUGACGCUGAGGCGCGACAGCGUGGGGAGCAAACGAGG
rnacentral:rRNA from 1 species